rnacentral:rRNA from 1 species
GUUCAGGAUGAACGCUAGCUACAGGCUUAACGCAUGCAAGUCGAGGGGCAGCAUGGUCUUAGCUUGCUAAGGCCGAUGGCGGCCGGCGCACGGGUGAGUAACACGUAUCCAACCUGCCGUCUACUCUUGGACAGCCUUCUGAAAGGAAGAUUAAUACAAGAUGGCAUCAUGAGUCCGCAUGUUCACAUGAUUAAAGGUAUUCCGGUAGACGAUGGGGAUGCGUUCCAUUAGAUAGUAGGCGGGGUAACGGCCCACCUAGUCUUCGAUGGAUAGGGGUUCUGAGAGGAAGGUCCCCCACAUUGGAACUGAGACACGGUCCAAACUCCUACGGGAGGCAGCAGUGAGGAAUAUUGGUCAAUGGGCGAGAGCCUGAACCAGCCAAGUAGCGUGAAGGAUGACUGCCCUAUGGGUUGUAAACUUCUUUUAUAAAGGAAUAAAGUCGGGUAUGGAUACCCGUUUGCAUGUACUUUAUGAAUAAGGAUCGGCUAACUCCGUGCCAGCAGCCGCGGUAAUACGGAGGAUCCGAGCGUUAUCCGGAUUUAUUGGGUUUAAAGGGAGCGUAGAUGGAUGUUUAAGUCAGUUGUGAAAGUUUGCGGCUCAACCGUAAAAUUGCAGUUGAUACUGGAUAUCUUGAGUGCAGUUGAGGCAGGCGGAAUUCGUGGUGUAGCGGUGAAAUGCUUAGAUAUCACGAAGAACUCCGAUUGCGAAGGCAGCCUGCUAAGCUGCAACUGACAUUGAGGCUCGAAAGUGUGGGUAUCAAACAGGAUUAGAUACCCUGGUAGUCCACACGGUAAACGAUGAAUACUCGCUGUUUGCGAUAUACUGCAAGCGGCCAAGCGAAAGCGUUAAGUAUUCCACCUGGGGAGUACGCCGGCAACGGUGAAACUCAAAGGAAUUGACGGGGGCCCGCACAAGCGGAGGAACAUGUGGUUUAAUUCGAUGAUACGCGAGGAACCUUACCCGGGCUUAAAUUGCAGAUGAAUUACGGUGAAAGCCGUAAGCCGCAAGGCAUCUGUGAAGGUGCUGCAUGGUUGUCGUCAGCUCGUGCCGUGAGGUGUCGGCUUAAGUGUCAUAACGAGCGCAACCCUUGUUGUCAGUUACUAACAGGUUCCGCUGAGGACUCUGACAAGACUGCCAUCGUAAGAUGUGAGGAAGGUGGGGAUGACGUCAAAUCAGCACGGCCCUUACGUCCGGGGCUACACACGUGUUACAAUGGGGGGUACAGAGGGCCGCUACCACGCGAGUGGAUGCCAAUCCCCAAAACCUCUCUCAGUUCGGACUGGAGUCUGCAACCCGACUCCACGAAGCUGGAUUCGCUAGUAAUCGCGCAUCAGCCACGGCGCGGUGAAUACGUUCCCGGGCCUUGUACACACCGCCCGUCAAGCCAUGGGAGCCGGGGGUACCUGAAGUGCGUAACCGCGAGGAGCGCCCUAGGGUAAAACUG